UACCCGACCCCACCCACACAAUCACAAACCCUAAUCAAUUCCUCCUGGUUACUAGGGUUUUCCUCCGCCGCUCCUCCACCACCCCCGCCACCUCCGCUAAUGGCGAGGCCGGGACGAGCUCGCCCCGCGACCCCCUCGGGCUCCGGCUCCGGAUCCUCCUCGCGCUCGCGCUCCCGCUCCCGCUCCUCGUCGGGGUCGGGCUCUCGCUCCCGCUCCCGAUCCCGAUCUCGGUCCAUCUCCUCGUCGUCCACCCCCUCGCGGAGCGCGAGCUCUCGUAGCCGAUCCCCACCGCCUCAGAGAAGAAGUCCAACUGGACCAGCUAGGAGAGGUCGUUCGCCAUCGCCUCCGCCUAAAAGAGCUUCACCUCCUAAGAGGGCUUCACCCCCGAGGAAAGCAUCACCAAUUCCGGAGUCUGUUGUUCUUCACAUUGAUCAUCUGUCGCGCAAUGUUAACGAAGCCCAUUUAAAAGAAAUAUUCGGUAACUUCGGUGACGUUGUCAAUGUGGAACUAUCAAUGGACCGCAUUGUUAAUCUUCCUCGUGGUUAUGGAUAUGUCGAGUUCAAGAAGAGAGCUGAUGCUGAGAAGGCUCUUCUUUACAUGGAUGGUGGUCAAAUUGAUGGAAAUGUUGUUAGAGUAAAAUUCACUUUGGCACAACGCCAGAAAGCUUCUUCCCCUCCAAAGGUGGUUCCGGCUGCUCCGAAAAGAGAAGCUCCACAGAGAGAUAAAGCUGUUCCAAGUACUGAAAAGGAUGCUCAACAGAGGCCCAGGGAGCCUUCUCCGCGGAGGAAACCACUUUCUCCUCCACGGAGGCGAUCUCCUCCUCCAAUCCGCAGGGGGGCUGAUUCACCGAGGCGUCGACCAGAGUCCUCUCCUAGACGUCGGCCAGAGUCUCCUCCUAUUCGUAGGCGGACAGAUUCCUCUCCAGUUCGACGGGGCGAAACACCACCUCCUCGGCGAAGACCAGCAUCCCCCAUUAGAAGACGUUCUCCUUCACCGGGUCCUAGAAGGAAUAGAUCACCUCUCCGGAUUUCUCCUAGAAGAGGCCGGGGAAGUCCACUUCGCAAGCGAUCACCGAUGCCCCCUAGGAGGCGAUCACCACCUCCAAGACGCUUAAGAAGCCCACCAAGAAGGUCACCACCACCACCUCCUCAUCGUCGGACUCGAUCACCUCUUCGUAGGCCUGUUCGUUCCCGAUCUAGGUCAAUCUCCCCUCGCAGGGGACGAGGGCCGCCGCGGCGUGGAAGGUCAGAUUCAUCGUAUUCUGCAUCGCCCAGUCCUCGGAGGGGACCUCGAAAAAUAUCAAGAAGCCCAAGUCCUAGGAGGUAGCUUAUGUUCCCUCUCUUCCUCUUGCUUCUAAUUCAUCUCGAAGAGAUGUGGCCUCCUAGAGGAAGAAGCCCCAGUAACAGCCGCAGCAGCAGCUCGCCCUCCCCUCGGCCAAAGUAAGCGCUUCGUUGGUCGUGAAUCUUCUUCAGUAGGUAAGACUCUCUCUCUCUCUCUUUCUUUCUCUCUCUCUCUCUCUCUCUCUCGCUGGUUUGUGUGUGUGUUGCUGCGAAGCGAGAUCUUAGCGAUUCUGCGGGCGGUUCUGCGGGUGGAGCUAUGCAACCGUGCGAAGGUUGAAGAGCUUAGAGGGGGUACCAAGAGUGAAAGCUUUUGUACUUUCCGAACCCUUGCAAAUGGUCUACUCUGCUUCUCGCGCACUGUAUUUGGCUUUUUAAACUCGGUCAGUGAUAUUUAAACACUGGAAAACUUUUUUAAGUAACUCGGUAUGUACUGAAACUGCGUGAAAUCUCCGAGAAGUAGCUUGUCUAACUUCUUACUCGCAAGAUGAUUAUCUACUUCGCUCAUUUAAUUUGAUCGUCUGUAUGCAUGCUUGCUUUC